GAUGAACGCUGGCGGCGUGCCUAAUACAUGCAAGUCGAGCGAACAGACGAGGAGCUUGCUCCUCUGACGUUAGCGGCGGACGGGUGAGUAACACGUGGAUAACCUACCUAUAAGACUGGGAUAACUUCGGGAAACCGGAGCUAAUACCGGAUAAUAUAUUGAACCGCAUGGUUCAAUAGUGAAAGACGGUUUUGCUGUCACUUAUAGAUGGAUCCGCGCCGCAUUAGCUAGUUGGUAAGGUAACGGCUUACCAAGGCAACGAUGCGUAGCCGACCUGAGAGGGUGAUCGGCCACACUGGAACUGACACACGGUCCAGACUCCUACGGGAGGCAGCAGUAGGGAAUCUUCCGCAAUGGGCGAAAGCCUGACGGAGCAACGCCGCGUGAGUGAUGAAGGUCUUCGGAUCGUAAAACUCUGUUAUUAGGGAAGAACAAAUGUGUAAGUAACUAUGCACGUCUUGACGGUACCUAAUCAGAAAGCCACGGCUAACUACGU
rnacentral:rRNA from 1 species